AACGAACGCUGGCGGCAGGCUUAACACAUGCAAGUCGAACGCCCCGCAAGGGGAGUGGCAGACGGGUGAGUAACGCGUGGGAAUCUACCCAGAUCUACGGAACAACAGUUGGAAACGACUGCUAAUACCGUAUACGCCCUACGGGGGAAAGAUUUAUCGGAUUUGGAUGAGCCCGCGUAAGAUUAGCUAGUUGGUGGGGUAAUGGCCUACCAAGGCGACGAUCUUUAGCUGGUCUGAGAGGAUGAUCAGCCACACUGGGACUGAGACACGGCCCAGACUCCUACGGGAGGCAGCAGUGGGGAAUAUUGGACAGUGGGCGCAAGCCUGAUCCAGCCAUGCCGCGUGAGUGAUGAAGGCCCUAGGGUUGUAAAGCUCUUUCACCGGUGAAGAUAAUGACGGUAACCGGAGAAGAAGCCCCGGCUAACUUCGUGCCAGCAGCCGCCGUAA
rnacentral:rRNA from 1 species